rnacentral:rRNA from 1 species
UACGUAGGGUGCAAGCGUUGUCCGGAAUUAUUGGGCGUAAAGAGCUCGUAGGCGGUUUGUUGCGUCGGCUGUGAAAUCCCGAGGCUCAACCCGUCGGGUCUGCAGUCGAUACGAGCAAACUAGAGUGUUGCAGGGGAGACUGGAAUUCCUGGUGUAGCGGUGAAAUGCGCAGAUAUCAGGAGGAACACCGGUGGCGAAGGCGGGUCUCUGGGCAACAACUGACGCUGAGGAGCGAAAGCGUGGGGAGCGAACAGG